AAAAAUUAUACACAUUAUGAAGGAAUACAGAAAGAUAUAAGAUCGAUAUUCGGCAUUAACAAAAAUGAACAUACUCGCUUAUAGAAAUUGCGUAAGGACCGAAAAAUUUUAGUUACGUCUUGCCUCGUUCGUUCGUCACAUUUCGAGGCGCUACUCACGGGGCGUCGUAGUACGCUACGUCGAUCCUGCGUAAUGUUGACGUCAUCGGCGCGUGCGCGUCGCGUCGGGACGGCACUGCAGAAGCAGGCGAGUAAGCGAGUGUAUCGAUUUUACGAUCGUGCCUCUCUCGCGGUGCUAGUGCGUCCGUCGUUUCCUUUAGUUUUUUAGUGGCCGUGCACGUCGUACAUGGAUAAAACCGUGAAUGGGAUUACCCGCUAGACACGCCGCUCCGUACACCGCCCGCUGACUCGCAACUCCUCGUCACCCUUCAUCAUGACCAAGGAUAGAUUAGCAGCCCUCGUCGCGGCCCAGUCGGACGACGACGAUGUGGCGGACGAUGUGUCCGUCAACGUCGGGGCGCCGGAUGAUUUCAUGACAGAGUUUUUCGCGGAGGUGGAGGAAAUCCGCGAAAUGAUAGAUAGGAUCCAGACGAACGUGGAGGAUGUGAAGAAAAAGCACAGCGCCAUUCUCUCUGCGCCGCAGACCGACGAGAAGGUGAAACUGGAACUCGAAGACCUGAUGUCCGACAUCAAGAAAACUGCUAACAAAGUGAGGGCUAAGUUAAAGGUGAUAGAGCAGAACAUCGAGCAGGAGGAGCACACGAACAAAUCGUCGGCGGAUCUGAGGAUACGCAAGACUCAACACUCGACGUUGUCCAGGAAGUUCGUCGAAGUGAUGACGGAAUACAAUCGGACACAGACCGAUUACAGGGAGCGGUGUAAGGGGAGAAUACAACGACAGCUCGAAAUCACGGGGAGAACGACCACUAAUGAGGAGCUCGAGGAGAUGCUGGAGCAAGGAAAUCCAGCCGUCUUCACGCAAGGGAUCAUCAUGGAAACGCAACAAGCAAAACAGACCCUUGCGGACAUCGAGGCGCGUCACGCUGACAUCAUUAAACUCGAAAACUCCAUCAGGGAGCUACACGACAUGUUUAUGGACAUGGCUAUGUUGGUGGAGAGUCAGGGCGAGAUGAUAGAUCGCAUAGAGUACCACGUGGAACACGCGGUGGAUUACGUGCAGACGGCCACGCAGGACACCAAAAAAGCACUCAAGUAUCAAAGCAAAGCCCGACGGAAAAUGAUCUUCAUCAUAAUCUGCGUCGUAAUAUCGGUGGUCAUACUAGCCGCCAUAAUAAUAGGGUGCCUUCCUUCGAAAUCCUAAACGGCCAAGGGGGUGUUUUUGAGGGGGGGAGAAGGAAGGGAACGAGGGAAAGGAAUAGGCGAACGCUUGAAAAUUUUCGAAGGCAAAGAAAGAAAGGGGGGAAACGAGUGCAAUGCGGCAGCGAAUAUGUCAUAAUAAUAAUAACAAUGUAAUAAUAAUAAUAAUAACAAUAAUGCAGAAACUUAGUCGCGAUCAGCCCGGGACGAAAUGUAUGAGAUCAAAUGUGCAGUGUGAUCAGAAGGUGCGGGGGACAUGGACACGUGGAGUAAUAAAGGCGGUCGCCUACGCAAGCUGUGAACGUAUCUUAACAAUUGCACGUGUAAACUAAGUCACAUAACAAAGCAAAAGCGCAGAAAAGGGGAGAUGUGCUGCAAAUAAUAAAACGGGUGUCCCGCGCCGAUCCUCAUAUAACACACGUCUCUCCGUGAUCUUACGCCGAUAAUCCUCCGACUAAUCUCUAUAACGAACGACUAAUUAACGUAAUAACAUCGCACUCAUCGCAUCCGCUCGUUUCGUUAACUAAAUUGUUCCUGAUAGUGGUCUGUGUGACAAUAGCGGUCAUCAUUCUGAUUAUCAUUCUGGCAGUUAGCUUUAGUUAGCU
rnacentral:misc_RNA from 1 species